UACGUAGGGUGCAAGCGUUGUCCGGAAUUAUUGGGCGUAAAGAGCUCGUAGGCGGUUUGUCGCGUCUGCUGUGAAAUCCCGAGGCUCAACCUCGGGCCUGCAGUGGGUACGGGCAGACUGGAGUGCGGUAGGGGAGAAUGGAAUUCCUGGUGUAGCGGUGGAAUGCGCAGAUAUCAGGAGGAACACCGAUGGCGAAGGCGGCGUCCUGGACCAACACUGACACUGAUGAGCGAAAGCCAGGGGAGCAAACGGG
rnacentral:rRNA from 1 species